rnacentral:tRNA from 1 species
UAUUUUUAGGCCAGUGGCAUUUUGAUUUCGGCUCAAAAAGGGUGAGUAACCUCACAAAAGUAU